rnacentral:lncRNA from 1 species
GUCAGCUCAGCUCGAGUGGCCCAGCCCAGCCCCUUUUAUCCCCGUUAUCUUCACUGGCUACAGCUGCAGCUUAUCAAAAACAGCCAGGGCUUAUCAGGGCCAGGCCCAUACACAGAUAUUCAAUGUACAGUACUCAUAUUUUACUAACCCUCCUACUAUAUUGCUUAUCAGGGCAAGGCCUGUGUAGAGAUAUUCAAUAUACAGAUAUUCAAUAUACAAUAGAGAUAUUUUACUAACACUCCUACUAUAUUGCUUAUCAGGGCAAGGCCUGUAUAGAGAUAUUCAAUGUACAGAUAUUCAAUACACAGAUAUUCAAUGUACAAUACACAUAUUUUACUAACACUCCUACUAUAUUGCUUAUCAGGGCAAGGCCUACACACAGAUAUUCAAUGUACAGAUAUUCAAUGUACAGAUAUUCAAUGUACAAUACACAUAUUUUACUAUGACUCCUACUAUAUUGCUUAUCAGGGCAAGGCCUGUAUAGAGAUAUUCAAUACACAGAUAUUCAAUGUACAGAUAUUCAAUACACAGAUAUUCAAUGUACAGAUAUUCAAUGUACAGAUAUUCAAUGUACAGAUACUCAAUAUACAGGUAUUCAAUAUACAGGUAUUUAAUGUACAGAUAUUCAAUGUACAGAUAUUCAAUAUUCAGAUACUCAAUAUACAGAUAUUCAAUACACAGAUAUUCAAUAUACAGAUAUUCAAUACACAGAUAUUCAAUAUACAGGUAUUCAAUAUACAGAUACUCAAUAUACAGAUAUUCAAUAUACAGGUAUUCAAUGUGCAGAUAUUCAAUGUACAGAUAUUCAAUACACGGAUAUUCAGUAUACAGGUAUUCAAUAUACAGGUAUUCAAUGUACAGAUAUUCAAUAUACAGAUAUUCACUGUACAGAUAUUCAAUGUACAGAUAUUCAAUAUACAGAUACUUGAUAUACAGAUAUUCAAUAUACAGAUACUCAAUGUACAGAUAUUCAAUGUACAGAUAUUCAAUGUACAGAUAUUCAAUACACAGAUAUUCAAUACACAGAUAUUCAAUAUACAGGUAUUCAAUAUACAGGUAUUCAAUGUACAGAUAUUCAAUGUGCAGAUAUUCA